rnacentral:tRNA from 1 species
GCGGAUAUGGUGAAAUUGGUAGACACACUAGAUUUAGGCUCUAGAAGUUUAACGACUUUGCGGGUUCAAGUCCUGCUAUCCGUA